rnacentral:rRNA from 1 species
CCCGCACAAGCGGUGGAGCAUGUGGUUUAAUUCGAUGCAACGCGAAGAACCUUACCUACCCUUGACAUCCAGAGAAUCUGUUAGAGAUAAUUGAGUGCCUUCGGGAACUCUGAGACAGGUGCUGCAUGGCUGUCGUCAGCUCGUGUUGUGAAAUGUUGGGUUAAGUCCCGUAACGAGCGCAACCCUUAUCCUUAGUUGCCAGCACGUAAUGGUGGGAACUCUAGGGAGACUGCCGGUGAUAAACCGGAGGAAGGUGGGGACGACGUCAAGUCAUCAUGGCCCUUAUGGGUAGGGCUACACACGUGCUACAAUGGCCAGUACAGAGGGCUGCAAACUUGCGAGAGUAAGCAAAUCCCAGAAAGCUGGUCUUAGUCCGGAUUGGAGUCUGCAACUCGACUCCAUGAAGUUGGAAUCGCUAGUAAUCGCGAAUCAGAACGUCGCGGUGAAUACGUUCCCGGGCCUUGUACACACCGCCCGUCACACCAUGGGAGUGGGUUGCAAAAGAAGUGGGUAGACUAACCUUCGGGAGGUCGCUCACCACUUUGUGAUUCAUGACUGGGGUGAAGUCGUAACAAGGUA